UAUUGGGGGCCCCCUUACAAUGCAAGUCGAACGGUGAAGCAGGAGCUUGCUCUUGUGGAUCAGUGGCGAACGGGUGAGUAACACGUGAGCAACCUGCCCCGAACUCUGGGAUAAGCGCUGGAAACGGCGUCUAAUACCGGAUACGCACCAGGAAGGCAUCUUCACUGGUGGGAAAGAUUUAUUGGUUCGGGAUGGGCUCGCGGCCUAUCAGCUUGUUGGUGAGGUAAUGGCUCACCAAGGCGUCGACGGGUAGCCGGCCUGAGAGGGUGACCGGCCACACUGGGACUGAGACACGGCCCAGACUCCUACGGGAGGCAGCAGUGGGGAAUAUUGCACAAUGGGCGCAAGCCUGAUGCAGCAACGCCGCGUGAGGGAUGACGGCCUUCGGGUUGUAAACCUCUUUUAGCAGGGAAGAAGCGAAAGUGACGGUACCUGCAGAAAAAGCGCCGGCUAACUACGUGCCAGCAGCCGCGGUAAUACGUAGGGCGCAAGCGUUAUCCGGAAUUAUUGGGCGUAAAGAGCUCGUAGGCGGUCUGUCGCGUCUGCUGUGAAAACCCGAGGCUCAACCUCGGGCCUGCAGUGGGUACGGGCAGACUAGAGUGCGGUAGGGGAGAUUGGAAUUCCUGGUGUAGCGGUGGAAUGCGCAGAUAUCAGGAGGAACACCGAUGGCGAAGGCAGAUCUCUGGGCCGUAACUGACGCUGAGGAGCGAAAGGGUGGGGAGCAAACAGGCUUAGAUACCCUGGUAGUCCACCCCGUAAACGUUGGGAACUAGUUGUGGGGGCCUUUCCACGGUCUCCGUGACGCAGCUAACGCAUUAAGUUCCCCGCCUGGGGAGUACGGCCGCAAGGCUAAAACUCAAAGGAAUUGACGGGGACCCGCACAAGCGGCGGAGCAUGCGGAUUAAUUCGAUGCAACGCGAAGAACCUUACCAAGGCUUGACAUAUAGAGGAAAGAUCUGGAAACAGUUCCCCCGCAAGGUCUCUAUACAGGUGGUGCAUGGUUGUCGUCAGCUCGUGUCGUGAGAUGUUGGGUUAAGUCCGCACGAGCGCAUCCUCGUUCUAUGUUGCCAGCCGUUAUGUGGGACUCAUGGGAUACUGCGGGGUCACUCGGAGAGGUGGGGAUGACGUCCAAUCAUCAUGCCCCUUAUGUCUUGGGC
rnacentral:rRNA from 1 species